AUCUGCCCGAUAGAGGGGGAUAACUACGGGAAACGGUAGCUAAUACCGCAUGACGUCUACGGACCAAAGCAGGGGCUCUUCGGACCUUGCGCUAUCGGAUGAACCCAUAUGGGAUUAGCUAGUAGGUAAGGUAAUGGCUCACCUAGGCGACGAUCUCUAGCUGGUCUGAGAGGAUGAUCAGCCACACUGGGACUGAGACACGGCCCAAACUCCUACGGGAGGCAGCAGUGGGGAAUAUUGCACAAUGGGCGCAAGCCUGAUGCAGCCAUGCCGCGUGUAUGAAAAAGGCCUUAGGGUUGUAAAGUACUUUCAGCGGGGAGGAAGGUGAUAAAGUUAAUACCUUUAUCAAUUGACGUUACCCGCAAAAAAAGCACCGGCUAACUCCGUGCCAGCAGCCGCGGUAAUACGGAGGGUGCAAGCGUUAAUCGGAAUUACUGGGCGUAAAGCGCACGCCGGCGGUCAAUUAAGUCAGAUGUGAAAGCCCCGAGCUUAACUUGGG
rnacentral:rRNA from 1 species